rnacentral:rRNA from 1 species
GAUGAACGCUGGCGGCGUGCCUAAUACAUGCAAGUCGAGCGAACAGACGAGGAGCUUGCUCCUCUGACGUUAGCGGCGGACGGGUGAGUAACACGUGGAUAACCUACCUAUAAGACUGGGAUAACUUCGGGAAACCGGAGCUAAUACCGGAUAACAUGUUGAACCGCAUGGUUCAACAGUGAAAGACGGUCUUGCUGUCACUUAUAGAUGGAUCCGCGCCGCAUUAGCUAGUUGGUAAGGUAACGGCUUACCAAGGCAACGAUGCGUAGCCGACCUGAGAGGGUGAUCGGCCACACUGGAACUGAGACACGGUCCAGACUCCUACGGGAGGCAGCAGUAGGGAAUCUUCCGCAAUGGGCGAAAGCCUGACGGAGCAACGCCGCGUGAGUGAAGAAGGUCUUCGUAUCGUAAAACUCUGUUAUUAGGGAAGAACAAAUGUGUAAGUAACUAUGCACGUCUUGACGGUACCUAAUCAGAAAGCCACGGCUAACUACGUG